rnacentral:tRNA from 1 species
AUUUUUUUGUUAUUAUAGUGACAAGAAACUCGCCGGGAUAGCUCAGU